rnacentral:sRNA from 1 species
UAUUACUUUCAAAUUCGUGCAAUCUAA